AUUGAACGCUGGCGGCAGGCCUAACCCAUGCAAGUCGAGCGAGCGGCGGACGGGUGAGUAAUGUCUGGGAAACUGCCUGAUGGAGGGGGAUAACUACUGGAAACGGUAGCUAAUACCGCAUACCAUCAGAUGUGCCCAGAUGGGAUUAGCUAGUAGGUGGGGUAAUGGCUCACCUAGGCGACGAUCCCUAGCUGGGCUGAGCGGAUGACCAGCCACACUGGAACUGAGACACGGUACAGACUCCUACGGUGGGUAGCAGUGGGGAAUAUUGCACAAUGGGCGCAAGCCUGAUGCAGCCAGGCCGCGUGUAUGAAGAAGGCCUUCGGGUUGUAAAGUACUUUCAGCGGGGAGGCGUUACCCGCAGAAGAAGCACCGGCUAACUCCGUGCCAGCAGCCGCGGUAAUU
rnacentral:rRNA from 1 species